UCCGGCUUCGAUGAAGAGCUAUUGCUGCUCCUUGGCCCCUGCAAGAAACAAACAUCUCUUGUAAAAACAGCACAUUUAUGGCUCUACUACGCAAGGAAGCGAAAAGAAUAAUACACAUCCUGUAGCCCAGAGCAAAGUGUGCAUGUUACAACUCAUGGUCAUGCUAACUUAACAAAGAAUUUCUUGCAUAGCAGCUCCUCCAUUGCAGCAGUAAGCAUAGCACUGAUAGAAAUGUUCAUUCCAGGCUUCUUUCUUUUUUUAAUUAUAAAUCCUCCACAUAAUAAAGGAUACAUGUAUGAUUUCAUGUCUCCUUUGAAUGGAAUAAGCAUUCAACCUGUCCCAGGAUUGAACACCAGACACCAUGUUGCAGAUUAUAUGGCCGAAGAUCUAUCAUUGCAGAUGUAACAGCCAAGUAACAGUACGUCUUUUAACAUGGAAGAUAUAAAAAAAAUUAAUGAAAGGAAAAAACAAAAGCAAAAAAAAAGAAAAAGAAAAAGAAGAGAAUGGACAAGAAAUCUUGGUGGCUCCUCAACAAUGAUCAGAAAACUUGACGGACAUCUCUACAAACCACUCAAGGAAUAGGCAUAUCCAACCAACACUUGCAACCUUGCCCUAAGAAACACCUUCUGGAAAACUGCUUAUUUACAAAAUGUUCUAUUGUAGUGUUCCACCCAACUGAAAGCAGCUAACACCCUUGCAAGGA